GUAUAAGAGACAGCAGUAGCCGCGGUAAUACAGAGGGUGCGAGCGUUAAUCGGAUUUACUGGGCGUAAAGCGUGCGUAGGCGGCUUCUUAAGUCGGAUGUGAAAUCCCUGAGCUUAACUUAGGAAUUGCAUUCGAUACUGGGAAGCUAGAGUAUGGGAGAGGAUGGUAGAAUUCCAGGUGUAGCGGUGAAAUGCGUAGAGAUCUGGAGGAAUACCGAUGGCGAAGGCAGCCAUCUGGCCUAAUACUGACGCUGAGGUACGAAAGCAUGGGGAGCAAACAGGAUUAGAUACCCCCGUAGUCCCUGUCUCUUAUAC
rnacentral:rRNA from 1 species